AUACGGAGGGGGUUAGCGUUGUUCGGAAUUACUGGGCGUAAAGCGCACGUAGGCGGAUUGGAAAGUUGGGGGUGAAAUCCCAGGGCUCAACCCUGGAACUGCCUCCAAAACUAACAGUCUAGAGUUCGAGAGAGGUGAGUGGAAUUCCAAGUGUAGAGGUGAAAUUCGUAGAUAUUUGGAGGAACACCAGUGGCGAAGGCGGCUCACUGGCUCGAUACUGACGCUGAGGUGCGAAAGCGUGGGGAGCAAACAGAAUUAGAAACCCUUGUAGUCC
rnacentral:rRNA from 1 species